rnacentral:lncRNA from 1 species
CUAGCUCCUUCCUCCCACGCUUUCCUGAGUAAUUUGAUGUCCUGGGGCAGGAUGAAGGACUGAGGGAAGAAAUUAAACUCCUUCUUCCCACAACGAGUCUGCAUCUUCAACAGGUUGCGCCACAGACGGUCCUUUCUCCCAAUUUGAAAUGAACCAGGGAAGUGGUUUAGCUUCUGGUGCUCCCUGAUGGCUCUGAAGCCGGGGGACUUCAUGUGGUG